GGCUGUGUGGUCUAGUGGUAUGAUUCUCGCUUAGGGUGCGAGAGGUCCCGAGUUCAAUUCCCGGCACAGCCC
rnacentral:tRNA from 1 species